rnacentral:lncRNA from 1 species
GGUGGGCUGCAGCCCCGCGAGGUCUGGGCCAGGUAGACUGGAAGGGGCGGAGGUAACUGGGAGCGGGCAGCGGAGGCCGCCCCGCGGCCCCCGCCCGCUCCACGCCGCGCUCGCUGCACGCGUGCGGGGAGAGGACGCGGCCAGCUGCGUUCCGAGAUCCGGCACCGCCGCUGCUUCUCCGCCAGGCGCCGGGCGUCCCCGCCACUCUCAAUCCGAAGUCGGCCACUAUGGAGGCGCAGGCUCGAGGAUGAAGUCUCUUUAGUGGAUGAUUACCACCUGACUGCCUGCAUUGGGUUUCCUGGGACACAUCGCCAUGGUUUAGAGCUGCUGUGUGUGUGUGCUAAGUCGCUUCAGUCGUGUCUGACUCUUUGUGGCAGUAUGAACUGUAGCCCACCAGGCUCCUCUGUCCGUGGGAUUCAACAGGCGAGAAUACUGGAACGGGUUGCCAUGCCCCGCUCCGGGGGAUCUUCCCAACCCAGGAAUGGAACCGCAGGCUCCUGCAUUGCAGGUGAAUUCUUUACUGCUGAGCCCUGGGGAAGCCCUUAGAGUUGCCAGCACCUGUUAAACUCCUGAGGUGCAUCUUUCUAAAAGAAUGUACAUUUUAAAGCCACUGAUUAUUAUUUAAACCCUUCUUUCAGUCAUUUUACUUGAAGACUUUGGUUUUGUGGUUUUGUUUGCCACCACCUGGAGAAGAAGUUUAAAAAAGGACCAGGAGCUUUCCUGUUUAUAUGUUUGUGUGUGUGUGUUAGAUGCUCAGUUGUAUCCAACACUUUGCGACCCCAUCGACUGUAUGUAGCCUGCCAGGUUCUUUGAUUCAUGGGAUUCUCCAGGCAAGAAUACUGGAGUGGAUUGUCAUUUCCUUCUC